GUGUAUUCAGCCUUUCAGCUAAGAUCAAGUGUAGUUUCUGUUCUUAACAGUUUAGUAUCUAGUUAUGUUCUCUAUCUGGGAAGAAUAUAUCACAUGGAUUUUUGGAAUCAGAAGACAGAAUAGGAGCUUGCGCUGUCUGUUCCACAUGUCAGCCUGGUGCUGCAGAACCAUUACUUCAAGUGUAGAGAAAACCUGU